rnacentral:rRNA from 1 species
UACGUAGGGUGCGAGCGUUAAUCGGAAUUACUGGGCGUAAAGCGUGCGCAGGCGGUUCGUUAAGUUCGUUGUGAAAGCCCCGGGCUCAACCUGGGAACUGCAUUCCAAACUGGAUAUCUAGAGUGCGGAAGAGGAGAGUGGAAUUCCUAGUGUAGCGGUGAAAUGCGUAGAGAUUAGGAAGAACACCAGUGGCGAAGGCGACUCUCUGGACCGUAACUGACGCUGAGGCAUGAAAGCGUGGGGAGCAAACAGG